ensembl:lncRNA
CGCCCAUCCAACCUGGCCUUGGGCACCUCCAGGGAUGGGGCACCCACAGCUCUCUGAAUUAGAAGCACUCUGUGAUUUAAUUCUGCAUCCUUACCAUUUAAUUAAGCACCUGACUGAACUGGUGAUGCUGAGAACUUGAGCUAGCACACUUAGGCUGUAAAAUGGUAGAAACAUUAAAAAAAAAAACCCAUAACCCCAACAACAAAAAAUCCAACUCUGUUGAAUUUCCUUUUAUGUUAAUAUCUCCCCCAGAAAUACUUCUUAAAAUAGCAGCAUUUUUCUUUGGAAACAUGAAGGGUUUAGCGAUGAGCAAUUCCAGAAACUUUGCAAUGAAAGAUGAGUUGGCAAACGAAGAGUAACUAGCAGUGAAGGGCGUGAUUGAUGGGUGAUCUUUCAGCAGCAUUGUUAUUUGUUUUUCAGGUGAUUUAUGCCAUUUAUGGCAUGGAUUAUGUGGGGAUUGCCUGCUUUUCCCAGGGAACAGCCAUAGGACGAGAGGGGAUGGCCUGACGUUGUGCCAGGGGAGGUUCAGGUUGGCUGUUAGGAACAAUUCCUUCUCCCAGAGAGCGGUGAGGCAGUGGCACAGCUGCCCAGGGAGUGGUGGGGUCACCGUCCUGGAGGUGUCCCAGAGCCGUGGGGAUGUGGCACUGCGGGUCAGUGGGCACGGUGGGGGUGGGCUGGGGUUGGACUGGGUGUUCUUAGUGUUCUAUUCCAACUAUAAUGAUUCUAAAAUUGUCUGAAUAAUACGUCCGUGCUGGUCCUCUGGCUUUGAGUAGGGAAGGCAAAGUUUUGAGCCAGUAGUGUGCAGCCACCACAGGGAGGAAGAGGAGUGUGGUCACACUUGGUACCUCUCCCAUCUCCUUCAGCUCUCAUCCCCAUUGGCCGGAGGAAAAUGGCACCUAGAGACGAUGAGGUGUGUGAGUGGAGAAGAACAGCAAGAAAAAAGAUCCAAGUCUCAAGAAGGGACAAGUAUACAGAUCGAACGUAUUAUUUCUUUAAUCUGCUUAUCAAUUGAAUACAUUUAAUUGUGUAUCUUCAGUCAAAGAGCAUGGAAAGCUUUGGGAAAGUCUAAGAGAAGAAAAAUGGAGUAAGAAAGCCAAAAGACGCUGGGCUCCUUUAACAACGAC